rnacentral:rRNA from 1 species
UACGGAGGGGGAGCUAGCGUUGUUCGGAAUUACUGGGCGUAAAGCGCACGUAGGCGGCUUUGUAAGUUAGAGGUGAAAGCCCGGGGCUCAACUCCGGAAUUGCCUUUAAGACUGCAUCGCUAGAAUUGUGGAGAGGUAAGUGGAAUUCCGGGUGUAGCGGUGGAAUGCGUAGAGAUCCGGAAGAACACCGGUGGCGAAGGCGGUCUGCUGGGCAGUUGCUGACACUGAGGCGCGACAGCGUGGGGAGCAAACAGGA